AUUUUUAUAGUUUAACAAAAACAUUGGUCUUGUAAAUCAAAAAUAAGAAAAAUUUUCUUUAAAAAUA
rnacentral:tRNA from 1 species